rnacentral:pre_miRNA from 1 species
CAGACAUUUCAAACAACUCAGGUCAAUAUCCAGUCACAGACAUUUCAAACAACUCAGGUUUGAAAUGUCUGUGACUGGAUAUUGACCUGAGUUGUUUGAAAUGUC